ACGCUACCGCCAUGUUGCGCUGACUCCGGUCAGCAACAUGCCCAGGUAGCCACGGUCUUCAAGGCUACGACGCGGUUCCGUCCGCGUGAUCACACCAGUUCGCACUCGGCAUCCCAGCGCGAACGACCGUCGAGCAAUCGACGGUGAUGC
rfam:Bordetella petrii strain DSM 12804, complete genome